rnacentral:rRNA from 1 species
UACGUAGGGUGCAAGCGUUAUCCGGAAUUAUUGGGCGUAAAGAGCUCGUAGGCGGUUUGUCGCGUCUGCUGUGAAAACUGGGGGCUCAACCCCCAGCCUGCAGUGGGUACGGGCAGACUAGAGUGCGGUAGGGGAGAUUGGAAUUCCUGGUGUAGCGGUGGAAUGCGCAGAUAUCAGGAGGAACACCAACGGCGAAAGCAAUCUGCUGGGCCGACACUGACACUGAGAGACGAAAGCUAGGGGAGCAAAUGGG